UGGGGAAUAUUGCACAAUGGGCGCAAGCCUGAUGCAGCCAUGCCGCGUGUAUGAAGAAGGCCUUCGGGUUGUAAAGUACUUUCAGCGGGGAGAAAGGUGUUGAGGCUAAUAACCUCAGCAAUUGACGUUACCCGCAGAAGAAGCACCGGCUAACUCCGUGCCAGCAGCCGCGGUAAUACGGAGGGUGCAAGCGUUAAUCGGAAUUACUGGGCGUAAAGCGCACGCAGGCGGUCUGUCAAGUCGGAUGUGAAAUCCCCGGGCUCAACCUGGGAACUGCAUUCGAAACUGGCAGGCUAGAGUCUUGUAGAGGGGGGUAGAAUUCCAGGUGUAGCGGUGAAAUGCGUAGAGAUCUGGAGGAAUACCGGUGGCGAAGGCGGCCCCCUGGACAAAGACUGACGCUCAGGUGCGAAAGCGUGGGGAGCAAACA
rnacentral:rRNA from 1 species